rnacentral:rRNA from 1 species
GAUGAACGCUGGCGGCGUGCCUAAUACAUGCAAGUCGAGCGAACAGACGAGGAGCUUGCUCCUCUGACGUUAGCGGCGGACGGGUGAGUAACACGUGGAUAACCUACCUAUAAGACUGGGAUAACUUCGGGAAACCGGAGCUAAUACCGGAUAAUAUAUUGAACCGCAUGGUUCAAUAGUGAAAGACGGUUUUGCUGUCACUUAUAGAUGGAUCCGCGCCGCAUUAGCUAGUUGGUAAGGUAACGGCUUACCAAGGCGACGAUGCGUAGCCGACCUGAGAGGAUGAUCGGCCACACUGGAACUGAGACACGGUCCAGACUCCUACGGGAGGCAGCAGUAGGGAAUAUUCCGCAAUGGGCGAAAGCCUGACGGAGCAACGCCGCGUGAGUGAUGAAGGUCUUCGGAUCGUAAAACUCUGUUAUUAGGGAAGAACAAAUGUGUAAGAAACUAUGCACGUCUUGACGGUACCUAAUCAGAAAGCAACGGCUAACUACGUG